rnacentral:rRNA from 1 species
AUUGAACGCUGGCGGCAGGCCUAACACAUGCAAGUCGAGCGGAUGAAGAGAGCUUGCUCUCUGAUUUAGCGGCGGACGGGUGAGUAAUGCCUAGGAAUCUGCCUGGUAGUGGGGGAUAACGUUCCGCAAGGAACGCUAAUACAGCAUACGUCCUACGGGAGAAAGCAGGGGACCUUCGGGCCUUGCGCGGUCAGCAGAGCCUAGGUCGGAUUAGCUAGUUGGUGAGGUAAUGGCUCACCAAGGCUACGAUCCGUAACUGGUCUGAGAGGAUGAUCAGUCACACUGGAACUGAGACACGGUCCAGACUCCUACGGGAGGCAGCAGUGGGGAAUAUUGGACAAUGGGCGAAAGCCUGAUCCAGCCAUGCCGCGUGUGUGAAGAAGGUCUUCGGAUUGUAAAGCACUUUAAGUUGGGAGGAAGGGCAGUAAGUUAAUACCUAGCUGUUUUGACGUUACCGACAGAAUAAGCACCGGCUAACUUCGUGCCAGCAGCCGCAGUAA